UCCAGGGAACCUCAAGUCCAGGCUCCCAAAAGAAGCAUCAGAGCCUUGCUUCCCCUUUCAUCUGACUGUCCAUGGCCCAUUAAAUGUGCUCUAAUCUCCUGGAUCCUCACCACCCAUGGAAAUUGAGGAGGUCCUGCCGUAUGUACUCUGUCACUCGAAUCCAUGUCCUGCUUUGACCGUUCACCUGGCUUCUGACCCAUGGCUUCCUGGGACCCUCCAACUCCCCACAAGCCUACGGCUGGCCUGGUGCCUUCUCUGACCUCCUGCACAAUGUCCCAGGUCUUUUUCCAUGACUGGUAUUAGUCCAAGAUUCAUGGAUCAUCCAUCCCAUGGCAUUUCAAGAAUCUCCUCCCACAAUGCAUCUUCCACGAAUAUGUCAACUCAUGAGGCCCCGGGACUACUUACAGGAUUUAUCAAUUCCAAGCUUUCCAGGAGACCCAGCACAAAAGCCAGAAGACGACCAUCGAUUUUGAGUCGGAGAGGGUCUUCGAGGCCAGGCCGUUUAUUCCAAUGGACUCCUUGGAGGGUGAGAGACCUGAGGCCCAGAGAAAAGCAACUGGCUUAAGAUUCCACGAUAUUCUACAGAGGAGGGUCCAUAGAGGAGUCCAGGAUGGUGCGAUAAGAGCUAAGAAUCCUAGCCGUACAUUGAGUCACGCAUGGGGCCUGUCGUGAGUGUACCCUGCUUGUGCUGCCACUAGGAGUUCUCCCUCUGCAUCCCAUCCCCACUCAGGCACCUUGGUGACCCCAAAGACUCUAGUGGGGAAUGGCACACCAACCUGCAAGCCUGGUAUUUCCUGCUUUCUCCCUGUAGCAGGGCUUCCAGUCAGCUUGCCCAGACUUAGUUCCAGGAAUGUUGCAGGCUAGAGAGCUGGGAGGGGCACCAAAGUGGAAACUUGUG
rnacentral:lncRNA from 1 species